rnacentral:rRNA from 1 species
UAUAGAGACUGCAAGCGUUAUUCGGAUUCACUGGGCGUAAAGGGUGCGCAGGCGGCCGAGUGUGUGAGGCGUGAAAGCCCGGGGCUUAACCCCGGAAUUGCACCUCAAACUACACGGCUAGAGCAUUGGAGAGGGUAGCAGAAUUCAUGGUGUAGCAGUGAAAUGCGUAGAUAUCAUGAGGAAUACCAGAGGCGAAGGCGGCUACCUGGACAAUUGCUGACGCUCAGGCACGAAAGCGUGGGGAGCAAAAGGG